CCGGGUGAGUAACACGUAUCCAACCUGCCGUCUACUCUUGGACAGCCUUCUGAAAGGAAGAUUAAUACAAGAUGGCAUCAUGAGUCCGCAUGUUCACAUGAUUAAAGGUAUUCCGGUAGACGAUGGGGAUGCGUUCCAUUAGAUAGUAGGCGGGGUAACGGCCCACCUAGUCUUCGAUGGAUAGGGGUUCUGAGAGGAAGGUCCCCCACAUUGGAACUGAGACACGGCCCAG
rnacentral:rRNA from 1 species